rnacentral:rRNA from 1 species
AGUGAACGCUGGCGGCGUGCUUAACACAUGCAAGUCGAACGAGAACGGGUUAUAGCUUGCUAUAAUUGUCAGCUAAGUGGCGCACGGGUGAGUAAUGUAUAGGUAAUAUGCCUCUUACUAAGGGAUAACAAAUGGAAACGUUUGCUAAUACCUUAUACUCCUUAUUAACAUAAGUUAAUAAGGGAAAGAUUUAUUGGUAAGAGAUUAGCCUGUAUUGUAUCAGUUAGUUGGUGGGGUAAUGGCUUACCAAGACUAUGACACAUAACUGGUUUGAGAGGAUGAUCAGUCACACUGGAACUGAGACACGGUCCAGACUCCUACGGGAGGCAGCAGUGGGGAAUAUUGCACAAUGGACGAAAGUCUGGUGCAGCAACGCCGCGUGGAGGAUGAUACAUUUCGGUGCGUAAACUCCUUUUAUAUGAGAAGAUAAUGACGGUAUUAUAUGAAUAAGCACCGGCUAACUCCGUGCCAGCCGCCGCCGUAACAC